UUUAGGUGGGUCUACAUGAUAUGUAUUAACUCAUCAUCAGUAUAUUUUAUGUAGGUGCAAUAAAAAAUGUUCAUAAUACAGUCAGCUCUCUGUGUCAUUGAUUCCACAUCCCAUAGAUUCAUCUAACUGUGGAUAAAAGAGACAGGUUGAAAUCUAAUUUACUCUUGUACUAAGACAAAACAUCAUGUGGAUCUGUGAGUCCUGCUCUAACUUUGGUAAAUUUUUAUAACCCAAUGCUAGAAAAAGUGCUUUAUUAAAGUAGUUUAUUUAGUGUGAUUAGAAUAUCAAUAAAUACACAGUAAAAUAUAUAAUUUUAACUAUACAAUUUGAUGAGAUUUGCACAUAUCAAUAUAUUAUGCCUUCUCACUUGGAAACCAGACUGAGCUCUCUGUCAGUUGAGUUCUCUGGACUCAAUGUUCUUAUCCGAAAAUUGAAGGAGUUAGAUAUAAUCAUUUUUAAAAUGUUUUCCAAACCAACAUCCUAAAGUCUACUCUCGAGAAUUAGCCAAUGAAAGAUAACAGACAUUUCAGCCAGACAAGAUAAUCAACUGGAAAGUACUAUUGAUCAAGUAGUAGAAAGGGAUGCAUUUUUAAUAUUAUGAUCAAUGCACUAAUUUUCAGUUUUUGCCACUGAAAUGUAUGAAAAAUAGCAGAACUG
rnacentral:lncRNA from 10 species